UCUAGGCUGAAAACAUAUUUGUUUAGUCAAGCCUUUAGUGAAUAGUUUUUUCUUAGGUACAGGGGCAGGUCU